ACCAGGAUGGCCCAGUGGUUAAGGCGUUGGACUUAGGAUCCAAUAGACAUAUGUCUGCGUACGUUCGAACCCCACUCCUGGUA
rfam:Cricetulus griseus cell line CHO-K1, whole genome shotgun sequence.